rnacentral:rRNA from 1 species
AACGAACGCUGGCGGCAGGCUUAGCACAUGCAAGUCGAACGGGCGUAGCAAUACGUCAGUGGCAGACGGGUGAGUAACACGUGGGAACCUUCCUAGGGGUACGGAACAACUCAGGGAAACUUGAGCUAAUACCGUAUACGUCCGUGAGGAGAAAGAUUUAUCGCCCUUAGACGGGCCCGCGUCGGAUUAGCUAGUUGGUGGGGUAACGGCCUACCAAGGCGACGAUCCGUAGCUGAUCUUAGAGGAUGAUCAGCCACACUGGGACUGAGACACGGCCCAGACUCCUACGGGAGGCAGCAGUGGGGAAUCUUGGACAAUGGGCGCAAGCCUGAUCCAGCCAUGCCGCGUGAGUGAAGAAGGCCUUAGGGUUGUAAAGCUCUUUUGCCAGGGACGAUAAUGACGGUACCUGGAGAAUAAGCCCCGGCAAACUUCGUGCCAGCCGCCGCCGUAA